UAAAUAAAACAUCGGCAUUUCCUCCCUCAAUCUUAGCGUCAGCUGCACUUCAAUGUCCUUUCCGUCUCUCUCUCUCUCUCUAACAUUGAUUAACUUUUCGUCCUGAUUUUAUGUUUAAUCAGGAGGAACGGAAUUGAAUCGAGUAAAGCACAAUUUCAAUCUACAGCCAUGGUUUCUUGGCUUCGAUCUUCAGGCGUUUUCAUCUUGCCGCUCAAUCGUUUAGCGCUAAUCGCUUGGCUUGUAAAGCAUUUUCCAGCUGUUGCGAUCCAUAUCAGAGGCGUGCGCGGCAAGAUCAUCCGGUUAGCCUCUCAUUGGUUGCCCUGAUAUUCGACCGCGAUUGGAUGAUUCUUCGCGAGAGUCACUCCUGGAAAUUAUGCACUACUCGCAUUUUUGUUUGGUAGGUUCAAUUGCAGGAUUUUUCUUCAUUUCGCAUCUGUUUUGAUGGGUAUUUUGGUUGUUCUGGAUUGUGCGUUUCCCCCUUUAACUGGACUUGAGUGGUCCUUUACUUGAUGCGUAGCUCGAGAUGGAGGAGAUGGAACCUCCUUUUUUUCUAGUUUGAAUGAUUUUCUUUGCUUCUUCGCUGUGUUCUCUAGUGACAGCUCCGAUCGGCGAUAAUCUGUUUUGUGGUACUCAAGAUUUUGGAUUUGAGGGGUAUCUAUUUUGACAUGGACUUGAUUUCUUUGAGUUUGUUUGAAUUGACUGAGACCAUAAUUAAUCUGUUGAAACUUUAUAAUCCAUGCAUUUGGGGGUAAGAGGGGGUGCUUGACAAAAGAUUAUUGGCUGUAGACGUGUGUGUUUUUUUAUCGAAGUUGACCUUUUGCCACUCUCUCUUUAUUCCAGUCUAUUUUUCAUGAUUACUAGAUUGGCUCAAAGAGAACGAAGAAUAAUAAUUUAUGUUAUGCAGCUCUUUGGUUGUAAUUACAUUUUUAAAGUAUUGCCCUCAAUUGAUUGUAUACUUGGAACAGCGAGAUUCUUCAAAUCUUCCAUAUUUGCCUUAGAUAAUAGUGGUUCUUUUGGGAGAUUGCCAGAUUGGAGUGUGAUACUUGCCUACCGAAGUAACGAGAAACUAAACUACAAAAAUGAGUGGAGGGGUCUCAAGGUGAAGGUGGAGGUGGGUUUGAUUUUGUGUUAAUAUAUUCAUACACGAUGUUUUAUUAUCUUUAGUUUAUGAAGUACUCGAGUCAUUGGAGUUGGGAAUCUUAUGCCUCCUUUGAUGAAAAUAGAGGUAUAAUGUUCUAAGGAUUUGAAUUCUUUUGUGCUGUUGCAUGUUUCUAGGUUCCACCCUAUGCUUUUUAAUUGGGUUCUUUGUGUAGGUCUACUCGUACUUGGAUGCUUCAUCCAUUAAGGGAGUUCAUUGGAGAGCUGUUCAGACGGCGAUCUUCAUUAAUGGAUGUUUUCAUUUUAGAAGAAUUGAGAUUAUUUUUCAUACAAGAAGCAUGAGCAUGUGCAAGUAGUUCUUUUCUUAAUAUCCAUGAGCAUCCGGGCUGCUUGUACGCACCUCGACUAUUCUAUGGGAUAAACUCCUUAUUCUUCUAUACUUUGGUGGUCAAGUUGCGAUGAACCGAAGAUACAACUUACACAACACAAAUAUUGAUACCGCAGCAUGAGAGACGAGUGAAGAAUUCAGAUUUUGAUGAAGCCAGAAUUGAAGCCAUAGUUCAAUUAGAAGCUACAGAAGGCUAAAUUCCAACACUUGGUUAUUUUUCUGAUCCAUUUUACUUUCGUGUUUGCAUCGGCUUGCAGUUGCGAUGAAUCGACGAUACAACUUACAGAUAGCACAAAUAUUGAUGCAGCAGCAUGAGAUAGAGUGAAGAAUUCAGCGUUUGAUGAAGCAGGAAUUGAAGCCAUAGUGCAAUUAGAAGCUACAGAGGGCUAAAUUUUCACAAUCUUGUCUACUAUUCAUAUAGUGCCAUAGAUAUUCAUAAGAAAGGCAAACUCUCCCUCCUACCUGGAAGAAAAAACCCAUUAAAGGAAAAGAAAAAACAAAAGAAUUUGAUCCA